rnacentral:rRNA from 1 species
CCUACGGGAGGCAGCAGUGGGGAAUAUUGCACAAUGGGGGAAACCCUGAUGCAGCAACGCCGCGUGAGUGAAGAAGUAUUUCGGUAUGUAAAGCUCUAUUAGCAGGGAAGAAGAUGACGGUACCUGAUUAAGAAGCCCCGGCUAACUACGUGCCAUCAGCCGCGGUAAUAAGUAGGGGGCAAGCGUUAUCCGGAGUUACUGGGGGUAAAGGGAGCGCAGGCGGCAGUGCAAGUCUGAAGUGAAAGCCCGGGGCGCAACCCCGGAACUGCAUUGGAAACUGGGAGUCUAGAGUACUGGAGGGGCAGGCGGAAUGCCUGGUGUAGCGGUGAAAUGCGUAGAUAUGAGGAGGAACACCAGUGGCGAAGGCGGCCGGCUAGACAGUAACUGACGUUGAGGCGCGAAAGCGUGGGGAGCAAACAGGAUUAGAUACCCCAGUAGUC